GACAGAGGUGCCGAGCGUUAGGCGGAAUCACUGGGCUUAAAGCGUGUGUAGGCGGAUCUGUAAGUACCUUGUGAAAUCCCACGGCUCAACCGUGGAACUGCUUGGUAUACUGCGGGUCUUGAGCCACCUAGGGGCAAGUGGAACAAACGGUGGAGCGGUGAAAUGCGUAGAUAUCAGGAGGAACACCGAUGGCGAAGGCAGGUCUCUGGGCCAUUACUGACACUGAGAAGCGAAAGCAUGGGGAGCGAACAGG
rnacentral:rRNA from 1 species